rnacentral:rRNA from 1 species
AGAGUUUGAUCCUGGCUCAGGAUGAACGCUAGCUACAGGCUUAACACAUGCGAAGUCGAGGGGCAUCAGUUUGGUUUGCUUGCAAACCAAAGCUGGCGACCGGCGCACGGGUGAGUAACACGUAUCCAACCUGGCCUCAUACUCGGGGAUAGCCUUUCGAAAGAAAGAUUAAUAUCCGAUAGCAUAUAUUUCCCGCAUGGGUUUUAUAUUAAAGAAAUUCGGUAUGAGAUGGGGAUGCGUUCCAUUAGUUUGUUGGCGGGGUAACGGCCCACCAAGACUACGAUGGAUAGGGGUUCUGAGAGGAAGGUCCCCCACAUUGGAACUGAGACACGGUCCAAACUCCUACGGGAGGCAGCA